rnacentral:tRNA from 1 species
CAUUAAAUAACUUAAAUUUACAAAAAGUAUUGAUCUCUUAAAUCAAAUAUAGUUAUAAACUUUUAAUGA